rnacentral:rRNA from 1 species
CCCGGGUCUUGUACACACCGCCCGUCACACCAUGGGAGUGGGUUUCACCAGAAGUAGGCAGCCUAACCGUAAGGGGGGCGCUUACCACGGUGGGAUUCAUGACUGGGGUG